GGCAGUUCUCAGGUGAUGCACCCUGGAAUCAGGCUCCCUCCUCUCUGGUUCCAGGUGUGUCACCCGAAAACUGCA
rfam:Myotis brandtii contig192740, whole genome shotgun sequence.